rnacentral:rRNA from 1 species
UACGAAGGGGGCUAGCGUUGCUCGGAAUCACUGGGCGUAAAGGGUGCGUAGGCGGGUCUUUAAGUUAGGGGGGAAAUCCUGGAGCUCAACUCCAGAACUGCCUUUGAUACUGAAGAUCUUGAGUUCGGGAGAGGUGAGUGGAACUGCGAGUGUAGAGGUGAAAUUCGUAGAUAUUCGCAAGAACACCAGUGGCGAAGGCGGCUCACUGGCCCGAUACUGACGCUGAGGCACGAAAGCGUGGGGAGCAAACAGG